AGUGAACGCUGGCGGUAGGCCUAACACAUGCAAGUCGAACGGCAGCACAGUAAGAGCUUGCUCUUACGGGUGGCGAGUGGCGGGCGGGUGAGGAAUACAUCGGAAUCUACUUUUUCGUGGGGGAUAACGUAGGGAAACUUACGCUAAUACUGCAUACGACCUACGGGUGAAAGCAGGAGAUCUUCGGACCUUGCGCGAUUGAAUGAGCCGAUGUCGGAUUAGCUAGUUGGCGGGGUAAAGGCCCACCAAGGCGACGAUCCGUAGCUGGUCUGAGAGGAUGAUCAGCCACACUGGGACUGAGACACGGUCCAGACUCCUACGGGAGGCAGCAGUGGGGAAUAUUGGACAAUGGGCGCAAGCCUGAUCCAGCCAUGCCGCGUGGGUGAAGAAGGCCUUCGGGUUGUAAAGCCCUUUUGUUGGGAAAGAAAAGCAGCAGGUUAAUACCCCGCUGUUCUGACGGUACCCAAAGAAUAAGCACCGGCUAACUUCGUG
rnacentral:rRNA from 1 species